rnacentral:lncRNA from 1 species
CCCCCACUUCCUUUUGAAUAGUUCCUGACUACAGGAAAUGAAUUUCUUAUCUGUAAAUUGGGUUUCUACAAAACAGAUUUCCAUACGUUGGCUAAUUUUGCAUUUAUACCAGGAAAAGAUCUGCAUUAAGUUUUACAACCGGAGUGAAAAGUCCAUCUGGGCUCUGUGCGAUCAGCAGCUCAUGACCAAGAGGACUUGUUUCCAUCUGCAGUGAUCUUAUCUCAAAGCCACAAGGAAAAGAUGCAAAGCUUGACUUGAGAGCCUGCUUCGCAGAAUCCAGUUAUUGGCAAAGAAAUCUACACUGAGGUAUUUCAUUAUAACUGCAGUGGUGAUUAUUGUGUGUUUGCUGCACAGCCCAGUAUCCCAUGACUUUGGAGUGCUCCAGGCAAACCAGAGAUGCGGUCAGGGUCAGUGCAAUCUUACCGUGUGACAACAGAAGGCAAAGAUGUUCGUGAUUGGGAAAAAGUGUGCUGUAACAAAAAAGAAGCCUGUCAGUAUAGCAGCUGCAGCAGCUGACUGACUGGUUCCUGUUUCUGUCCCUCCGACCUGCCAGCAGCUCAGCAGAUGCUCAAGGAUGUCACCCAGCUCAAACUGUUUCCUUUCCAUGUCUGGUAUUUGCCAACUCUCUUCUAAUGAGAUGUCCUCACUUGGAAUUUAUACAGGUGCACUUCAAGAGGAAGAACUUGAACUUCUGCACAUGUGGCUGUUCUGCACAGCUGAAUAUCUGUGUGACCUGGUAUAUCAACAGUCAACGUCCCCCGGAAAAGCUUUGCAGAUUUGGGUCGGCUCCCUGGUUGAAGGAUGUAAGGAAUGAAAAGAGACCAUGGAGAGAAGGAGGUGACAUAGAGAGAAUGACUGAGUGCCUGGAGUUUCCCUCUGAACACCAGACGAAAAUGUGGAGCAUCUGGUCAGGAAAACCACACUUCAGAAGAUUUAAAUAUAGUGUCUUGUUAUCUCAGUCUAUUUCCUUGACAGAACAUGAGGCUGAAUAUCUUUUUGUUGAAUUUCUUUCUCUCUUUUUUUUCAUAAAGAAGCUGAUAAAUCAGGAGGAUUACAGGGAAUGA